ACCAGCUUAGGCAACACAGCAAGACCUUGUCUCCACAAAAAAUAAAAAAUAAUUACAACACUAGAUUGUAAAGACCAGGAUGGACCUUUUUCUUGAUGUCCAGUGUCCUUUGUUGUAAGAUUUGGUGCAAUAUAG
rnacentral:snoRNA from 1 species